rnacentral:rRNA from 1 species
GUGGGGAAUCUUGCGCAAUGGCCGAAAGGCUGACGCAGCGACGCCGCGUGUGGGAGGACGCCUUUCGGGGUGUAAACCACUGUUGCCCGGGACGAAUAUCCUGUUUAGACAGGAUUGACGGUACCGGGUGAGGAAGCACCGGCUAACUCCGUGCCAGCAGCCGCGGUAAUACGGAGGGUGCGAGCGUUGUCCGGAAUCAUUGGGCGUAAAGGGCGCGUAGGUGGCCCGCCAAGCGUGCGGUGAAAGCUCGGGGCUCAACCCCGAGUCGGCCGUGCGAACUGGUGGGCUCGAGCACUGUAGAGGCAGGCGGAAUUCCGGGUGUAGCGGUGGAAUGCGUAGAGAUCCGGAAGAACACCGGUGGCGAAGGCGGCCUGCUGGGCAGUAGCUGACACUGAGGCGCGACAGCGUGGGGAGCAAACAGGAUUAGAAACCCCGGUAGUCC